GACAAGAGGACAAGAAGACAAGACAAAAUAAAUUCAUGUUGUUUCAUACAGGUGAAGACAAGACAAGACAAGACAAGACAAGACAAGACAAGACAAGAUCAGACUUUACUGAUCCCACACUGUAUCUGGUUCUCGUGUUGAACUUUCCAGUGAUGUUCAGUCCUGCUCCGCCCUCUGCUGGUGGAGGAUGAUCAGCACUCUUUAAUUCACCUGCAGACUGUCUCUAUGGUAACUGACUGUGCACCUUCACCUGUAAGUUCGGUUUCCUGUGUCGGAACACGCUGACCGCGCGUGCACUUUGUCAUUUCCUUUGUUGUUUUUGAUUAAACAUCUGAAAAGACAGUAAAGAAAGAGCUGACGGAGUGCCACUGCAGUUCUGUUAUAUUCUAUAUAUUAUUAUACAG